UACGGAAGGUCCGGGCGUUGUCCGGAAUCAUUGGGCGUAAAGGGGGCGCAGGCGGGGAUGCAAGUCUUUCCUGAAAGCGUGGGGCUCAGCCCCAUGAUGGGAAAGAAACUGUAUCUCUUGAGCGCGGGAGAGGGAAGCGGAAUUCCUGGUGUAGCGGUGAAAUGCGUAGAUAUCAGGAAGAACACCAGUGGCGAAGGCGGCUUCCUGGACCGCGGCUGACGCUGAGGCCGGAAAGCCAGGGGAGCGAACG
rnacentral:rRNA from 1 species